AUGUAUCACAACUUUAAAACUAUAUUUUGGAACGUGUGUGUGCUUAAUAGCCCGGCCAAACGCGCGACAGUUCAUAGCGUGAUCAUCGCCGCUGCACCCUCCAUCGCCUGCCUCCAAGAGAUCAAACUCUUAUGUGUCUCUCCCAGCAUCAUUGCUGGAAUGCUUCACGCGUCAUUCCGCGACUUCUACUGGCUGCCCGCCGACGGCAGACGUGGCGAAAUCCUCCUUGCUUGGCAGGCUGACCAUGUCUCGCUUCUCAACCGCACCAUUGAUAAUCCACAAGUAUAG
rnacentral:rRNA from 1 species